rnacentral:rRNA from 1 species
UCGAAACUGGUUUCCUUGAGUGUGGAUGAAGUAGGCGGAAUUUGUGGUGUAGCGGUGAAAUGCAUAGAUAUCACGAGGAACUCCGAUUGCGCAGGCAGCUUACUAAGCCAUAACUGACGCUCAGGCACGAAGGCGUGGGGAUCAAACAGGAUUAGAUACCCUGGCACUCCACGCAGUAAACGAUGAUUACUAUCUGUUUGCGAUACAAUGUAGGCGGCUGAGCGAAAGCGUUAAGUAAUCCGCGUGGUGAGUACGUUCGGAAAAAAUGAAACUGAAAGUGAUUUGGCGGCGCGCCCGCACAAAGCGAACGAGCAUGUUGAUUUUAAUUUCAAAUGGAUACGGAAGCAACCCUACCCCGGGGCUUGGAAAAGGGAACCGGGCCGUGGAAUGGAGAGAUGUCUUUUCCCUUUCAAGACGGAUGGUGUGGCGUGGCUGCAUGGUUUCCCGUCCGGCUCCGGCGCGGGUGGGUCGCUCUGCUGUGCGUGAAAUAAACGAACAC